UACGUAGGGUGCAAGCGUUGUCCGGAAUUAUUGGGCGUAAAGAGCUCGUAGGCGGUUCGUCGCGUCGGCUGUGAAAUCCCGAGGCUCAACCUCGGGUCUGCAGUCGAUACGGGCGGACUGGAGUUCGGCAGGGGAGACUGGAAUUCCUGGUGUAGCGGUGAAAUGCGCAGAUAUCAGGAGGAACACCAAUGGCGAAGGCAGCUCGCUGGGACGGUACUGACGCUGAGGCGCGAAAGCGUGGGUAGCAAACAGG
rnacentral:rRNA from 1 species